GAGGGAGUGGGACGUCAGAGGAGGUUAAAGUGUGAACAGUAAAGGGGCGUGGAGGUUUCACACAAGAAAGAGUUAUAAUCCACUCCCAGCCUUCUCCUUUUUCAGACACCACUAACUUUCAUGGUGACCACAACCAAAACUGAGACUGCAAAAGAAAGAAAGAUUGCUCAAGAAAAUAUUAUAAACAAGAAAUAUCUGGAUAACAUUUGGAUAUGUUAAAUCAAGUCUUCACGAACCUGAAGCCACAACCAACUAGCAGCUGUGAUCAUUAAUUAAAUCCAGGAAGGAAAAUAAAUCAAAGAAAAUAUCAGCUUUCUUCUUCACAGCUCUGUCAGCCGUCAUAAGUGAGGAUUUCAGUUUGACUGGAGAGUAGACAGAGGCAUACAGAGCUGUACUUUCCCAAUCAAGAUCAAGCCUGGACUAAAAUGUCUUCCCAAUCAGCAACAAUGGAGGACAUUCCACUGACUGCUGUCCCAGGUCCAGGUGAAACGACAGAUGCCCAAAAUGACACCACCUGCCUUCAAGUGAUCACCUGCUGUGGUCGUGACCAUACUGUUCCCUCCUGUGCCAAGGACAGGGACUAUAGGAGACUGGCCAUUAGCAGCAUCAUCUGUGGACUCUCCUGCAUUGGCAUUUUAGCUUUGGUCAACUCAGUCAAGGCUCGAGAGGCAAGGAAGACGACUCCAGAGAAGGCUAAACAAUACUCCCAACGGGCAAAAACGUUUGGGAUCAUUUCUAUUGUGGUGUGGGUGGUGAUUCUGGUACUCAGCCCACUACUAUUGGGACUGGUGUCAUACAUACUCACUCUGAUAGACUGACCAAUUCCCAGGAACCACCAAGGUCGGAUGUACUGUACCAUAAGGAUGGCUACAGGACAACGGUCCAACUUCUUUAGUAUUGAUCUUGGACUGCUGUGACACUGUGAGGUGGGAACAGAUGGAAAAGCACCUCCGGUGACUCGGGGAGACCCCACUGUAUACAGCCUCCCUGAGUAUCAUUCUGAUAAGGCUGUCUUGCUGAUAAGGAUUUACAAAGGCACCUUUAACUUUAUUUUGUGUCACUCUGGAAUUUAUCGCUGGAAGACUGGUUUAUAGUUAACAUUCAAGUGAUGCCACAGCUAUAAAUACAUUAUAAAUAUUAAGAUAUUUUGACAUUUAUCAGUAGCCCAACCAGACUUUUAGCACUUAAGAGUAAGGACUGUAGUCAGACUACCUUCUUCCUGAAUAAGAGGUUGGUUCAGAGACGAGAGAUGAGCAAGGGGACACAAAAUAAGCACUUGUUUUUGAGAUAGCAUUUAAUGGACACGGUUUAUUUGCUGACAUACAUGAGUCCAAGACUGUAUGAGUAUAAAACAGCAGAUUUUUAAAAAUCCUGUAUAAAUUCAAAACAAACUGUGAGCCACUAUACAGGGGCCUGACUCCAAAACACUCCCAUGUCCACUAUCUGUCUCAACCUUGACGUUUCACUUUUACCAUUUAUGAUAUGCAACAUUAACUUUAUUUUUUAACAAUGUUAUAUUUUUUAUCAGUGAAAUAAAUACAUGUGUAUAUGUGAGGAACUAAAUCUAAAUGUCUAAUUAUAAAGGACAAAUUGUGAACUAGGUAUAAUUAAAUCAGGGCAGUGUUUCUGAUUUACAGUAAUCGUGAAAACUGCCUUUGGUUUUAAAUACCAAAAAUGUACAUUACUUCAUUUUGUUUACAUUAUCAUUUCUACAUUUACUGUAUUCAUGUCAUUGCCUUACUUUGUAUUUUAUAUUUAUACAUAGCAUGUUGUAAAGAUUUUGUAAUUAAAUGAAAAUACAUUUACAUCAA